rnacentral:tRNA from 1 species
AUAUAAUUGUUGUAAAGCAAGUCUAUUUUCCAAAUAGAAAGACAAAUUAAAUUUGAUUAUAUC